AUUGAACGCUGGCGGCAGGCCUAACACAUGCAAGUCGAACGAGUGGCGGACGGGUGAGUAAUGUCUGGGAAACUGCUUGAUGGAGGGGGACAACUACUGGAAACGGUAGCUAAUACCGCAUACCAUCGGAUGUGCCCAGAUGGGAUUAGCUAGUAGGUGGGGUAAAGGCUCACCUAGGCGACGAUCCCUAGCUGGUUUGAGAGGAUGACAAGCCACACUGGAACUAUGACACGGUCCAGACUCCAACGGGAGGCAGCGGUGGGGAAUAUUGCACGAUGGGCGCAAGUCUGAUUCAGCCAUGCCGCGUGUAUGAAGAAGGCCUUCGGGUUGUAAAGUACUUUCAGCGGGGAGGCGUUACCCGCAGAAGAAGCACCGGCUAACUCCGUGCCAGCAGCCGCGGUAAUAC
rnacentral:rRNA from 1 species